AAAAAACUACAAUGCCAAAAAAUGUCUUUCGUUUGGAAUUUAGUUCCAGUGGGGGAUUCCUAAGGGGUGAUAGAACGUUAGACUUAGUUUUUUUAACUUUGAGAUACGUAUUAGUUAUCUUUUAUAUAGUAUAUAUAAUCUUUGUUUAUCUGUGAAAAAAAAAAGAAAAAUCAGUCACCCUAUAGUAUUAACAGACAAUUUCGCAUGAUUUUUAAACGUCGAUCAACGGCGUUACGUAAUUGUUAAAAGACGGCCAAUUUAACAUGUUUAAAUAUUAUUUUCUUUAAUAAUAAGAACCAUGAUCAACCAUGCUUUAAAAAAUUAAAGGAAAUCUAUUUCUGACUUUAAUGGCAAUUUAAAAACAGACAAAAGAAGAAAAAAAUCCAAAUUGGCGCCAAGUUAUUUUUCCGCGAAUUAACGCAAUUUCAGAAUGGCGGGUUUUAAUAUCAG
rnacentral:lncRNA from 1 species